GACGAACGCUGGCGGCGUGCUUAACACAUGCAAGUCGAACGGAAAGGCCCUGCUUUUGUGGGGUGCUCGAGUGGCGAACGGGUGAGUAACACGUGAGUAACCUGCCCUUGACUUUGGGAUAACUUCAGGAAACUGGGGCUAAUACCGGAUAGGAGCUCCUGCUGCAUGGUGGGGGUUGGAAAGUUUCGGCGGUUGGGGAUGGACUCGCGGCUUAUCAGCUUGUUGGUGGGGUAGUGGCUUACCAAGGCUUUGACGGGUAGCCGGCCUGGGAGGGUGACCGGCCACAUUGGGACUGAGAUACGGCCCAGACUCCUACGGGAGGCAGCAGUGGGGAAUAUUGCACAAUGGGCGGAAGCCUGAGGCAGCAACGCCGCGUGCGGGAUGACGGCCUUCGGGUUGUAAACCGCUUUCGCCUGUGACGAAGCGUGAGUGACGGUAAUGGGUAAAGAAGCACCGGCUAACUACGUG
rnacentral:rRNA from 1 species